AUGGCUCAGGAUGAACGCUAGCUACAGGCUUAACACAUGCAAGUCGCGGGGCAGCAUGGGGUGCUGCAACUCCGAUGGCGACCGGCGCACGGGUGAGUAACGCGUAUCCAACCUGGCCCUUAGUAGGGGAUAGCCCGGCGAAAGUCGGAUUAAUACCCUAUGUUUCCUUUGACGGCAUCUGAUGAGGAACAAAGAUUGAUCGCUAGGGGAUGGGGAUGCGUCUGAUUAGGUAGUAGGCGGGGCAACGGCCCACCUAGCCGACGAUCAGUAGGGGUUCUGAGAGGAAGGUCCCCCACACUGGUACUGAGACACGGACCAGACUCCUACGGGAGGCAGCAGUGAGGAAUAUUGGUCAAUGGGCGGGAGCCUGAACCAGCCAAGUAGCGUGCCAGGAAGACUGCCCUAUGGGUUGUAAACUGCUUUUAUGCGGGAAUAAAGUCAGGUACGUGUACCUGUUUGUAUGUACCGCAUGAAUAAGGACCGGCUAAUUCCGUGCCAGCCGCAGC
rnacentral:rRNA from 1 species